AACGGCCGUACCAUGCUGAAUAUACCGGUUCUCGUUAGAUCACCGAAGUUAAGCAUCAUUGGGCGCGGUCAGUACUUGGGUGGGUGACCACCUGGGAUCACUGCGUGCCGUU
rnacentral:rRNA from 1 species